rnacentral:sRNA from 1 species
GCCGGGCACGGUGGCACACGUCUGUAAUCCCAGCGGCUCGGGAGGCUGAGGCAGGAGGAUCGCAAGUUCAAAGCCAGCCUCAGCAACUUGGCGAGACCUUGUCUCAA